UAGUUAGUUCUAGAUGGUUCUAGUUGGUUCUAGUUGGAUGUUGUAUCCUCAGAUGAAUCCAGUGUCACAGCUGAAACAUAAAGACGCAGAUUCAAUAAAUAAAUGAACUGUUUGUUUCCAGCGUUCACAAAUCAAACAGCUGGACGGUGAAGUUUUCAGACGUCACUGUUUAUAUCCUGGACACAGGAAGACCAACAUCAUCAUCACCAACAGGAGAGUCUUGUGCGUGAAGGAGAUUGACUUUGUCGGCCAUUUUAACAAAGAGUGGGAGUGUUUGUUUGAGAACUUCUAUCGUCCUCCGGCUGUGACGGGAUCUGAGCUGAAGAUCUACUGCAAGGAGCAGCAGAAGUUAAAGUUGCCAAAGAGAGAUGAGGACUCGGUGAGGAAAGUUCAGCUCAGAGACGCAAACACCGCUCAGACGCUGCAGGAGGCCAUAUCCGACGCUCAGGCGGCGCAGCAGCAGCACCGAAUGGCGAGACAGAAAUCACAGCGUUUCCUGAAACUGGACAGCAAACAGUGAGGUCACUUCCUGUCAGCCGCUGUCACUUCCUGUCAGCAGGUGUCUUUGUUUGAAUUGAAGAGCUGUGCCUUUAAGUGUAGAAGAAGAUUCAAACUGACUUCCUGUUUACACAUCUGGAACCAUCCAAUCAGAGCUGCACUUUAUUAACGAGGGUUUAAUCGAAUAGGUUCAUAAAACGUUAUUGUUUAUAUGUAUUUACGCUUUAGGCCGAUCACUAAUGGACGGGUAGUGCUCAGUUGUUAUUGGGCUUUUACUCAAUGGAGGAAAUGAAUGACGGGGUCGUAGUUAAACUUCCUGUUUAAAAAUAAAGGUAAUCUGGGUGUUGAAUCAAAUUCAAAAUAUAUGAAAUCGUUUUAUCUGUAGUCAUCAGAGAAAUGUUUUUAUUUUAUUUUAAUGAGAUUAUUUUUGACAGUGGGUGGGUUCAGGUUUCUUUGGGUCCCUGCUGUUUGCCUGCAGGUGGCGCUGUCACGUGUUUAAGAUGAAGCCAUUUGACAAGUUGCACUAAAACUAAUAGAAGAAUCAGUUUGACUCGUUUACAAACUUUGUUUUCAUGUUUCUGUCUUUGUUGUUGUUGACGCCCGAAGAUCAAAGGUCAAAUAAAGAACCUGAUGUGUAACCAAAGAGAUUUUUAUAAACACGAUUGUUGACGUUUUGUUUACGAGA